AUUAGAGUUUGAUCCUGGCUCAGAUUGAACGCUGGCGGCAUGCCUUACACAUGCAAGUCGAACGGUAGAGUAGCAAUACUCGAGAGUGGCGAACGGGUGAGUAAUAUAUCGGAACGUGCCCAGUCGUGGGGGAUAACGUAGAGAAAUUUACGCUAAUACCGCAUACGAUCUAAGGAUGAAAGCGGGGGACUCGCAAGAGCCUCGCGCGAUUGGAGCGGCUGAUAUCAGAUUAGGUUGUUGGUGAGGUAAAAGCUCACCAAGCCGACGAUCUGUAGCUGGUUUGAGAGAACGACCAGCCACACUGGGACUGAGACACGGCCCAGACUCCUACGGGAGGCAGCAGUGGGGAAUUUUGGACAAUGGGCGAAAGCCUGAUCCAGCAAUGCCGCGUGCAGGAAGAAGGCCUUCGGGUUGUAAACUGCUUUUGUACGGAACGAAACGGUCUACUUUAAUACAGUGGGCUAAUGACGGUACCGUAAGAAUAAGCACCGGCUAACUACGUGCCAGCAGCCGCGGUAAUACGUAGGGUGCGAGCGUUAAUCGGAAUUACUGGGCGUAAAGCGUGCGCAGGCGGUUAUAUAAGACAGUUGUGAAAUCCCCGGGCUCAACCUGGGAAUUGCAUCUGUGACUGUAUAGCUAGAGUACGGUAGAGGGGGAUGGAAUUCCGCGUGUAGCAGUGAAAUGCGUAGAUAUGCGGAGGAACACCGAUGGCGAAGGCAAUCCCCUGGACCUGUACUGACGCUCAUGCACGAAAGCGUGGGGAGC
rnacentral:rRNA from 1 species